AGGACGAACGCUGGCGGCGUGCCUAACACAUGCAAGUCGAACGAGAAAGUGGAGCAAUCCAUGAGUAAAGUGGCGACCGGGUGAGUAACACGUGACUAACCUACCUUCGAGUGGGGGAUAACCUCGGGAAACCGAGGCUAAUACCGCAUAACAUCGCAAGAUCAAAGCAGCAAUGCGCUGGAAGAGGGGGUCGCGGCUGAUUAGCUAGUUGGCGGGGUAAUGGCCCACCAAGACUUUGAUCGAUA
rnacentral:rRNA from 1 species